UAGUAUUAAAACAUGUUUAUUUGGAUUAAAAAGCCUGUAUGGAACAUCCAGUUAUACAGUAUGUAACGACACAAAGCAGGUAAACGCAGAGAGAAAGAAAACCAACCUCCACUUAAGUCACAUUUGACUUGACACCCCCAUUAGAAAGUGACCACUAGGUUACCUUAUGAAAUUCAGGAUCAGGUAAAGUACCAGGUUAAAAACAAAAGAAAUACAACAUCACUGGGAUGGUUUAACAGACCUUCAGAAAAUGGCAAUUGAACUGCACCCCCAUUGGGUACACUCAAGGCACGGCACCACCCGUCACAUACCCGAAUGUGGAUGACCAUUCUAGUAAUUCUAUUUCUACGGUUGAAAAGCACUGUGCUGUAAGGCUGGCUUGCUGCUGACAUUCUGAUACUGGGAUAGAUUCAACAGGAUUCAGCAAACGGUUUCACAUGUAGAAUUACAACGGCUGCCAUUUUGGCACCAAAGUAAAGUACUGAGAUGUAAUAUGGAGGGUAGUUUGGUGUCUAUGGAGGGUAGUUUGGUGUCUAUGGAGGGUAGUUUGGUGUCAAUAUGGAGGGUAGUUUGGUGUCAAUAUGGAGGGUAGUUUGGUGUCAAUAUGGAGGGUAUUUGGUGUCCUAUGGAGGGUAGUUUGGUGUCUAUGGAGGGUAGUUUGGUGUCUAUGGAGGAUAGUUUGGUGUCUAUGGAGGAUAGUUUGUGUCAAUAUGGAGGGUAGUUUGGUGUCUAUGGAGGGUAGUUUGGUGUCUAUGGAGGGUAGUUUGGUGUCAAUAUGGAGGGUAGUUUGGUGUCUAUGGAGGGGUAGUUUGGUGUCAAUAUGGAGGGUAGUUUGGUGUCUAUGGAGGGUAGUUUGGUGUCUAUGGAGGGUAGUUUGGUGUCUAUGGAGGGUAGUUUGGUGUCUAUGGAGGGUAGUUUGGUGUCUAUGGAGGAUAGUUUGGUGUCAAUAUGGAGGGUAGUUUGGUGUCAAUAUGGAGGGUAGUUUGGUGUCAAUAUGGAGGAUAGUUUGGUGUCAAUAUGGAGGGUAGUUUGGUGUCAAUAUGGAGGGUAGUUUGGUGUCUAUGGAGGGUAGUUUGGUGUCUAUGGAGGGCAGUUUGGUGUCACUAUGGAGGACAGUGUGGUGUCAUUAUGGAGGGCAGUGUGGUGUCAAUAUGGAGGACAAUUUGGUGUCAAUGUGGAGGGUAGUUUGUCACUGUGGAUGGUAGUUUGGUGUCUGGAGGACAGUGUGGUGUCAAUAUGGAGGACAAUUUGGUGUCAAUGUGGAGGGUAGUUUGGUGUCAAUAUGGAUGGUAGUUUGGUGUCAAUAUGGAUGGUCGUUUGGUGUCAAUAUAGAGGGUAGUUUGUCACUGGAUGGUAGUUUGGUGUCUGGAAGGUAGUGUGGUGUCAAUGUGGAGAGUAGUGUGGUGUCAAUGUGGAGAGUAGUGUGGUGUCAAUGUGGAGGGUAGUGUGGUGUCAAUGUGGAGGGUAGUGUGGUGUCAAUGCGGAGGGUAGUGUGGUGUCAAUGCGGAGGGUAGUGUGGUGUCAAUGCGGAGGGUAGUGUGGUGUCAAUGCGGAGGGUAGUUUGGUGUCAAUACGGAGGGUAGUGUGGUGUCAAUGCGGAGGGUAGUUUGGUGUCAAUGCGGAGGGUAGUUUGGUGUCAAUACGGAGGGUAGUGUGGUGUCAAUACGGAGGGUAGUGUGGUGUCAAUGCGGAGGGUAGUGUGGUGUCAAUACGGAGGGUAGUUUGGUGUCAAUGCGGAGGGUAGUGUGGUGUCAAUGUGGAGGGUAGUGUGGUGUCAAUGUGGAGGGUAGUGUGGUGUCAAUGUGGAGGGUAGUUUGGUGUCAAUGUGGAGGGUAGUUUGGUGUCAUUGUGGAGGACAGUGUGGUGUCAAUAUGGAGGGUAGUUUGGUGUCAAUGUGGAGGGUAGUUUGCCAAACUGUUUUCGAUCUAUUCCUUAUCAUACUGAGAUGUAAACAGAAUGCUCAUCAACCACAUCAGUACUACAACACAUACUCAUUCAUUCGCUUAACAAACACUUUCUCAGUCCCUGUACCUCACACACCCACACAGACCUGCUAUAUACACAGUGGACAAAACAUUAGGAACACCUUCCUAACAUUCAAUUGCACCCCCCUCUUGCCCUCAGAAUGGCCUCAAUUCGUCAGGUUAUGGACUCUACGGAAAGCGUUCCACAGUGAUGCUGGCCCAUGUUGACUCCAAUGCUUCCCACAGUUGUGUGAAGUUGGUUGGACCUCCUUUGCUUGGUGGACCAUUCUUAAUACAAACAGGAAACGGUUGAGCGUGAAAAAGCAGCGUUGGAAGUUCUUGACACAAACCGGUGCGCCUGGCACCUACUACCAUACUGUUCAAAGGCAAUUCAAUAUUUAGUCUUGUCCGUUCACCUUCUGAAUGGCACUGAUACACCAAGGCUCAAGAAUCCUUCUCUAAUCUGAAUCCUUCUUUAAUCUGAAUCCUUCUUUAAUCUGUAUCCUUCUCUUCAUCUACACUUGACUAAAGUGGAUUUCGAAUCGAUAAAAACAUCAUAGGUUUUACCUGGAUUCAGCAAUGCUUUUUAUACUCGGUGUAUAUUCACUCCACAUGCUGUUCUGUUACAGAUGGAAUUUAAAAUGGAUUCAAUUGAGAUUUUGUCACUGGACUACACACAAUACCCCAUAAUGUCAAAGUGGAAAUAUGUUGUUUUUUUUAGAAAUGUUUACAAAUGAAUAAAAAAUGAAAAGCUGAAAUGUCUUGAGUCAAUAAGUUUUCAACCCCUUUGUUAUGGGAAGUCUAAAUAAGUUCAGGAGUAAACGUGUGCUUAACAAGUCACAUAAUAAGUUGCAUGGACUCACUCUGUGUUCAAUAAUAGUGUUUAACGUGAUUUUUGAAUGACUACCUCAUCUCUGUACCCCACAUACACAAUUAUCUGUAAGGUCUCUCAGUUGAGCAGUGAAUUUCAAACACAGAUUCAACCACAAAGACCAGGGAGGUUUUCCACAGCCUCGCAAAGAAGGGCCAGAGGGAAAAGAAGGACGCAUGUACAGAAUACAAAUAUUCCAAACCAAGGCACUUAAGUAAAACGGCAAAAAAUGUGUCAAAGACAUGAACUUUUUGUCCUGAAUACAAAGCAUUAUGUUUGGGGAAAUACAACACAUUACAGAGUACCACUCUUCAUAUUUUGAAGCAUGGUGGUGGCUGCAUCAUGUUAUGGGUAUGCUUGAAAUCCUUUAGGACUAGGUAGUUUUUCAGGAUAAAAAAGAAAUGGAAUUGAGCUAAACACAGGCAAAAUCCUAGAGGAAAACCUGGUUCAGUCUGCUUUCCAACAGACACUGGGAGAUGAAAUCACCUUUCAGCAGGACAAUAACCUAAAACAUAAGGCCAUUUACACACUGGAGUUGCUUACCAAGACGUCAUGGAAUGUUCCUGAAUGGCCUAGUUACAGUUUUGAUUGAAUCCUGUUCUUGAUAUAGAUUUUCAAAUAAAUUUGUCUAGCAAUGAUCAACAACCAAUUUGACUGAGCUUAAAGAAUUUUGAAAAUUAUAAAUGGGCAAAUGUUACACAAUCCACAUGUGGAAAGCUCUUAGAGAUUUACCCAGAAAGACUCAUAGCUCUUAGAGAUUUACCCAGAAAGACUCACUGUCAGUGGUGCUUCUACAAAGUAUUGACUCAGGGGUGUAAAUACUUAUGUAAAUUAGAUAUUUCUGCAUUUCAUUUUCAAUAAAUUUGCAAACAUUUCUAAGAACAUGUUUUCACUUCGUCAUUAUGGGCUAUUGUAUGUAGAUCUGUGAGAAAAAGAAACUAUUUAAUCAAUUUUGAAUUCAGGCUGUAAAACAAAAUAUGGAAUAAGUCAAGGGGUAUGAAUAUUUUCUGAAGGCACAUAUUCAAAGAUACACUACAUUAUUCAAAGUAUG
ensembl:lncRNA